rnacentral:rRNA from 1 species
UAAAAUAAAAUCAAAGGAACUUGUUUUUUAAUCGAUAAUACUCGUUAAAUCUUACUUUUUAUAAAAGCUUAUAUACCGCCGUUCAAACAUUUUCAAAACAAUUUUUUAAAACCCUAUUUAAAACUUCAGGUCAAGGUGUAGCCUAUAAAAAAGCUAAAAUAAGUUACUAUAAAAGCUAUUUAUAGAAAUAUAAGAAACUUAAAUAAAACCGGAUUUAAAAACAAUAACUUAAUAGUAACAAAUUAUGAAAUUCAUUUAAAC